rnacentral:misc_RNA from 1 species
AUGGGGUGGCAUUUAUUCAACAUUCCUGCUAAUUAUGCACUUUCUUUGACAUUCUCAGUUGAUUUUCAAUCAGAUAACGACCAAGUGUACAUCUAUGACAACACUGGUGCAGGGAUGUACAUAAUUCACACUGGAAACAUUACUAACGUUGAGUUGUAUGUUUCACCUACAAUUGCGAGAGUAAAUGUUGUUGGAGUGUCUGGUAAAAGCUCAUUCAUGCUAACAUAUUUGUACAAAUCUCUGGAAGCAUACAAGCAAACAAUCAAGAAAACUGGAGAAUAUUUUCCAUUAAGCCUUGUCACAGGAAUUUCAUAUUAUACAAUUACGAGUGACAACCCCAAUGAGAAGGUUGUUCUGUCAUAUGCCAUGCGAGUUGGAGUGAACGAAGACAAGCUACUUGCGUAUUAUUAUGUAUACGAUGGUGAUAAUAUUAAUAAUGCGACAAUGAUUGGAAAUCUGGAUACCAUUGGAGGAAAAAUCACUGUUUCUUCUGGAAGAUCAGUGACAAUCGUCAAUUUUUACGGCGGCACAAAAUCAAACUCGUACGCUCUUGGAAACGAUGCAUCCACUGUUCAAGGCUAUGAUAAAUACACAGUUUUAAUGACAUCGAAAGGAACAACCGCAUCUGGAAAUAUGACUUCUCUGGCUACAAACGGUGGUCUCUAUACAUUUAUCUGCGUCGAUUGCUCAACAUUUUACUACACACAACUCCGUUUUGACAGUAUGACGCCGGUUUCCAACCGUGCAUAUGUCACAUUCCAAGGGAUGACACCAACUCAUAAAAAAGAGAAAUUAAUCAAAUAUGAGUCAGUUUUGCUAAAUUGGCAUAUACAUUGACCAUACAAAUGUCAAUUUUUGAGUAAUUAUGCAAAACUUGUAGAAGGCGUAAUUUCACAAAUCAGUCUCAGAUACUGAAUCUUAAUUCAAAAAGAGAUUUCAUAAAUCAGUCAGUAAAACCACAUGCGUUUCUUCUAAAUGGAUCAGAAAAAAGUAUGGUUUUUAGCCUUUGUUUCUAGUAAUUUGUACAAAAAUGUUUAAUUGUCGUUACAUGGUAUUAAACCGUUAGUUAGUUUUUAUUUCUCACACGUACGAUUUAUUCUUUGACCGGACUUUAACCGGACACACCUGCUCAAGUAGUUUACAAAAGGGGUCCAAAAACUUGGUCCAAUCUCUAUAUUGUGGGAAGUCUAUUCGGUGGUUGAAAUUUUAUUUAAGACGAAGUAUGACCUUACGGUUUCGAAAUCGAAUUAAAAUAUUUUAAAAGAAAUUCAAAAAAAUUCAAAUAUCAUAAUGAAUUGUUUCAAAGAGAUUUCUGCUAAAUUGUUUGAAAUUUGAAAUGAUUUAUUAUGAUAUUUGGUCAUUUGGUCAUAGGAAUGAUUUUCAAUUGUAUUACCUCUGACCGUAUUGCACCUCAAAAUACGAUAAAGUAAAUUAAAAAUUUCUGAACUUACUUACUUACUUAUUAUUUAUUCGCAAAAAUCUGUUCAUUUUGCGUGAGACGAAGUGAUAGAGUUUUUACAGCUGAAUACCAUUUUCAGUAUGAUGACUGUCACGGAUAAGUAUUUCCCACAAAUGAUGCCAUCUAACAUCAUCACACUCAACGUGUACCUGGCUCGAGUUGGAUUCAUGUUCAACAAUGUAAAUGAUGAUACUCAAUGGAAGAAAGCAUACGAUGGCCGGAAAGGAAUGAUUUUCUCACCAAACUUGUGGAUGUCGACUCCGAACAGUUUCAGCUACGAGAUUCGAGAUGAUUCACAGAUGUAUAACUUUGCGGUUACAAUAAAUAAAAUGAGUUUCCCCGCGAGUAGCGAUAAGAUGACUUUGAUAAUCGGUCCUACUACCGGCAACCCAACUUUGAAUAAUAUGUACCCGCGUGAUCAAAGUUCAACGGGAAAAGUUUCUUAA